UACGAAGGGGGCUAGCGUUGCUCGGAAUGACUGGGCGUAAAGGGCGCGUAGGCGGAUUGUACAGUCAGACGUGAAAUUCCUGGGCUCAACCUGGGGGCUGCGUUUGAUACGUAUAGUCUUGAGUGAGGAAGAGGGUCGUGGAAUUCCCAGUGUAGAGGUGAAAUUCGUAGAUAUUGGGAAGAACACCGGUGGCGAAGGCGGCGACCUGGUCCUUUACUGACGCUGAGGCGCGAAAGCGUGGGGAGCAAACAGG
rnacentral:rRNA from 1 species